CCUACGGGAGGCAGCAGUGGGGAAUAUUGGGCAAUGGAGGCAACUCUGACCCAGCAAUGCCGCGUGAGUGAUGAAGGUAAUUUUAUUGUAAAGCUCUUUUCUUUGGAACGAAUUACUGACGGUACCAAAGGCAUAAGCUACGUCUAACUACGUGCCAGCAGCAGCGGUAAUACGUAGGGGGCGAGCGGUGUUCGGAAUGACUGGUCGUAAAGGGUGUGUAGGUGGUUAGAGAAGUUAGAAGUGUAAUACCCAGGGCUUAACUCUGGUGCUGCAUCGCAAACUGUUAGACUUGAGUACUGGAGAGGAUAGUGGAAUUCCUAGUGUAGCGGUGGAAUGCGUAGAUAUUAGGAGGAACAUCAGUGGCGAAGGCGACUAUCUGGACAGCAACUGACACUGAGGCACGAAAGCGUGGGGAGCAAACAGGAUUAGAUACCCGAGUAGUC
rnacentral:rRNA from 1 species